GAUGAACGCUGGCGGCGUGCCUAAUACAUGCAAGUCGAACGCUGGAGAUCUAGCUUGCUAGAUCGAAGGAGUGGCGAACGGGUGAGUAAUACAUAAGCAACCUACCCACGAAGACUGGGAUAAUCUCUGGAAACGGGGACUAAUACCGGAUAGGUAAUCGGAAGGCAUCUUCUGGUUAUUAAAGGUUAAAAACACUGGUGGAUGGGCUUAUGGCGCAUUAGUUAGUUGGCGAGGUAACGGCCCACCAAGACGAUGAUGCGUAGCUGGCCUGAGAGGGUGAACGGCCACAUUGGGACUGAGACACGGCCCAGACUCCUACGGGAGGCAGCAGUAGGGAAUUUUCGGCAAUGGGGGCAACCCUGACCGAGCAACGCCGCGUGAGUGAAGACGGCCUUCGGGUUGUAAAGCUCUGUUGUAAGGGAAGAACGGUAGAUAGAGAAUAUCUAAGUGACGGUACCUUACCAGAAAGCCACGGCUAACUACGUG
rnacentral:rRNA from 1 species